GAGUUUGAUCUUGGCUCAGAUUGAACGCUGGCGGCAUGCCUUACACAUGCAAGUCGAACGGCAGCACGGGAGCUUGCUCCUGGUGGCGAGUGGCGAACGGGUGAGUAAUGCAUCGGAACGUAUCCUGGAGUGGGGGGAUAACGUAGCGAAAGUUACGCUAAUACCGCAUAUUCUGUGAGCAGGAAAGCGGGGGACCUUCGGGCCUCGCGCUCUUGGAGCGGCCGAUGUCGGAUUAGCUAGUUGGUGAGGUAAAGGCUCACCAAGGCGACGAUCCGUAGCAGGUCUGAGAGGAUGAUCUGCCACACUGGAACUGAGACACGGUCCAGACUCCUACGGGAGGCAGCAGUGGGAAUUUUGGACAAUGGGGGCAACCCUGAUCCAGCCAUGCCGCGUGAGUGAAGAAGGCC
rnacentral:rRNA from 1 species